rnacentral:rRNA from 1 species
AGUGAACGCUGGCGGUAGGCCUAACACAUGCAAGUCGAACGGCAGCACAGUAAGAGCUUGCUCUUACGGGUGGCGAGUGGCGGACGGGUGAGGAAUACAUCGGAAUCUACUUUUUCGUGGGGGAUAACGUAGGGAAACUUACGCUAAUACCGCAUACGACCUACGGGUGAAGGCAGGGGAUCUUCGGACCUUGCGCGAUUGAAUGAGCCGAUGUCGGAUUAGCUAGUUGGCGGGGUAAAGGCCCACCAAGGCGACGAUCCGUAGCUGGUCUGAGAGGAUGAUCAGCCAAACUGGAACUGAGAACCGGCCCAGACCCCUACGGGAGGCCGCAGGGGGGAAUAUUGGACAAGGGGCGAAAGCCUGAUCCAGCCAUACCGGGUGGGUGAAGAAGGCCUUCGGGUUGUAAAGCCCUUUUGUUGGGAAAAAAAAGCAGCAGGUUAAUACCCCGCUGUUCUGACGGUACCCAAAGAAUAAGCACCGGCUAACUUCGU